ACUGCAAACAAUCUGCCACAGAUGGCAAGACAUGUCAUAUCUGGAUGUGGGAUGAGCUGAUCGAGAAGAGAAGACAGCAGCGCAAUUUUCAUCAAUUAAAAAGCCAGUGAAUUUCAUUUUCUGGCUUUCAAAGUGAGCUAGAGACUCAAGUUCCAAUAUCAGUUUGUAUUACAAAUUGAAUUGAGGGAGCAGAAUCAAAAUUUAUGCCUUGAAAACCAAAAACUUACCCAAACCCAAGAAAACUUACUGCACAUCGAAGAAUGAAUCCUGGCGGUUAACAAAUGAAAGCGGAAAGAAUGAAAGAAGUUGGAAGCAUUACCUGAGGAACAAAAAGAAGUCAAUGGAGACAAAUCUAUUAUCAUGGCCCGGGCAUGAGCGAUUUUACUCCAUUGGAUCUGAAUGCUAUUAAUGCUGAUGAAAGGGAUCUCUUGGAGGGAGAGAGGGAGGGCCAUCAUCUGGCAAGUACCCCAAGUUCGCAUCCAUAUAUGAACAAAAAUUGUUGGGAUUGGGGCCAGAACUGAAACCGGGGAAAGGGUUGCCUGCAGAGGAGGCCGAAUUACUUGCCGUUCGAAAGAGCAUUGGCAUACAAGAAUAUCAUCAUCAUCA
rnacentral:lncRNA from 1 species